AUGAGCCACAUGCGGUGAAACUUGCACGUGUGGUUCUGAGCGAACCCAGUAUAUUGUAUGGAUAAGCAAAUUGACCUUGC
rnacentral:ncRNA from 1 species